rnacentral:tRNA from 1 species
GAGGANUUAGCUUAAUNAAAGUGUUUGAUUUGCAUUCAAUUGAUGUAAGAUAUAGUCUUGCAAUCCUUA